UGCCAGACUCCUACGGGAGGCAGCAGUGGGGAAUAUUGCACAAUGGGGGAAACCCUGAUGCAGCGACGCCGCGUGAGUGAAGAAGUAUCUCGGUACGUAAAGCUCUAUCAGCAGGGAAGAAAAUGACGGUACCUGACUAAGAAGCCCCGGCUAACUACGUGCCAGCAGCCGCGGUAAUACGUAGGGGGCAAGCGUUAUCCGGAUUUACUGGGUGUAAAGGGAGCGUAGACGGCGAUACAAGUCUGAAGUGAAAGCCCGGGGCUCAACCCCGGGACUGCUUUGGAAACUGUGUUGCUGGAGUGCUGGAGAGGCAAGCGGAAUUCCUAGUGUAGCGGUGAAAUGCGUAGAUAUUAGGAAGAACACCAGUGGCGAAGGCGGCCUGCUGGACAGUAACUGACGUUGAGGCUCGAAAGCGUGGGGAGCAAACAGGAUUAGAUACCCCGGUA
rnacentral:rRNA from 1 species